rnacentral:rRNA from 1 species
GGGGGGGGGGGGGGGGGGGGGGAAGGGGGGCGAGGCGAGGGGGGGGGGGGGAAGGGGGGGGGGGGGGGGGGAGCGGCGGGGGGGGGGGUGACAGGGGGAUAACCGACCGAGCAGACUGGGAUAACUUGGGGAAACGGGAGCUAAUACCGGAGAAUAUUUUGAACCGCAUGGUUCAAAAGUGAGAGACGGCGUUGCUGUCACUAAUAGAUGGAUCCGCGCUGCAUUAGCUAGUUGGUAAGGUAACGGCUUACCAAGGCAACGAGGCAUAGCCGACCUGAGAGGGUGAUCGGCGACACUGGAACUGGGACACGGUCCAGACUCCUGCGGGAGGCAGCAGUAGGGAAUCUUCCGCGAUGGGCGAAAGCCUGACGGAGCAACGCCGCGUGAGUGAUGAAGGUCUUCGGAUCGUGAAACUCUGUUAUUAGGGAAGAACAUAUGUGUAAGUAACUGUGCACAUCUUGACGGUACCUAAUCAGAAAGCCACGGCUAACUACGUG